UCGGGACUGCCUGGUACGCGAUGGCCGGUUGCAAUUUCUACCCUAAUGCUCAAAACCGGGAUCCGUUCCUCGCUGCUGAGUGUCUUCCGCCCAGUGCGGAAAACCGGACGCUCGCGACACGGAGCCCACCUGGUAAUACAGGGUUUAAAUUCACUGGCCACGUCGGCUGUGGCGGUCACCCC
rnacentral:other from 1 species